UACGUAGGGUGCAAGCGUUGUCCGGAAUUAUUGGGCGUAAAGAGCUCGUAGGCGGUUUGUCGCGUCUGCUGUGAAAACUCAGGGCUUAACCCUGAGCCUGCAGUGGGUACGGGCAGACUAGAGUGUGGUAGGGGAGAUCGGAAUUCCUGGUGUAGCGGUGGAAUGCGCAGAUAUCAGGAGGAACACCGGUGGCGAAGGCGGCAUCCUGGACCGACACUGACGCUGAGGAGCGAAAGCCAGGGGAGCAAACGGG
rnacentral:rRNA from 1 species